AGGAAGAGGAGAGCAGAGAGAGAUGCUGAUGUUCAGACUUCAAAGCCUGGAGACGACACAUACACAGCUCUAAACCUCGCCACCACCUCGUCCUCUGAGUACGACACUCUGACACAUGCUACACACUCUCCCAACGACACAUACUCAACUCUGAACCCUGCAACCAGGAUGUCUUCUGAGUAUGACACUCU